UAAAGACUUAGGAUAACAUAAACCAAGAGCCUUCAAAGCUCAAAAUAUGGGAGAAACCCCCCUAGUUUUU
rnacentral:tRNA from 1 species